CCUUAGACGACAAACCAACAACAAGAAAACAGAGGAAGGCGUGGUCUUGACGUUACAAAUUUUCUAGACCCAUAGAAGCUUCGACCCAACUACCUCCAUGCUUCGUUUUUCUUGGUUGUGGCCUUUAUUUGAGGACGAACCAUUGUCACCAACAAGCUCUGAGUCCUCCAAAAUUGCAUAACUCCUGCUUUUGUACCAAAACUGAACAGCUCCUUCCACAAUUGUCCCCGCCAACCAACAACCCAUCCUUCUACGGUUUCAGCUCACCAUCCUCACCGGAGGCAGCCCCCAAUUCGCUGUUGCUGCUGUCUCGCUGUUAGGACUCCUCCCUCGCCGGUGCAACCCCCCGUUCGAGCAAAACACUCGCCGCCUCGCCUCCAAGAAACCCCGCUGUUCCUGCUCGGUCCGACUCAGCUGAGGAAUCGGCUUCUCAGCAGUAGGCCGAGAGCCUCGCCGACCUGAGAAGAGCCAUCUUGAGGUAUCCCAGCACCUCUUGGAGUGGAGACCUCAUCACCGGCACAAGAAAUGCGUGGUUUUAGCGUUGAAUCCGUCACAAGCCUUUGGGGCCGGACGAUGCUCCUUCGGGAAUGCCCCAAGUCAACGGAUGCCGGUCGUAGUGGAUGCCGGACCGAUACUCCUAAUCGGAAUGCCGUCUGAGUAUAGACAUUGCCAUGCUCGACGAUGCAAGACGAUGCCCGGUUAUGCCAGAAGACUGUUAUUUAUUGCAUUAACUAUGGCCCGUAUGCUUACAUUGAUAUUUAUGUCUUUGCAUAUACUCAUGUUAAGGUAUUCAUAUGAUGUGUGAACUCGAUACUGUUAUGUAUGAUUUGAUUGACACUAACAUACAGGAAAAUGUUGAUAUUUUAAAAGUUGAGAAACGUGACUAGGUUGCAUGUAGAGUGUACCCUUCUCCUACUCGGGAUUUAGGGGAUUAACUCGCUGAGAUGUAAUCUCACCCCGUUGUGGGCUAAAAUAUUUCAAGUCCUUAGAUGGAGGAUUUUCAAGAGGAGUACGGGGAGUCGAAGGAAGUGAAAGUUAGGUCUUAGUUUAGUUUCUGUCAGGAGUCGAUGGGUCUUCCAUCUAGUUUGGACACUGGGUGACAACUUACGCUUUUGUUAUCGAUAAGUCUGACGGGAUCGCCUAGGACCCUGUUCCCAUGGACGAGGAGUUCGGAGCAUAGAUAGCCUAGAAGCUCUCCUUUUUGAAACAGAUCCUUGUCAUGCUAGACUUUUAUGUGUGUAAACACUCUUGUAAAAAUAUGUAUGUUUAGUGUAAAUAUAAUCCUAUAUUUGCUAUCC